GUGAAAACAACUCCAACAACUUUGUAAAAGUUUUCAUCAAUGUUCACAAAUCAGCCGUUUCAGAAAUAAUUGUUCAUGAAAAUGUUCAUUAAAAUCAGAGGUGACGUUUGGACAGUAGCCAAGCAGGGCAAUGUUUGUCCAUCAGUUUCUAUUUAUGGCCAAAUAUUAUGUUGCUAGGUAACAGCCAGCUCUAUCAGAGUUAUCAAAUUAGCAUUAGCAGCUCAGUGAGCGGCAGAAACGUAUAUGUCUGAUGUCAUCUGUUCCCUUCUGCAGCCUCAAAGAGAAACACAAAGAAAUGUUCCAGCGGAAGAUGCAGAAGCUACUGUUGGAACUGACUAACAUCAGUGACACAAAAACCACACAAACGCCAGUAAAUGGUGUUUAUUUGUCUGGCCAUUGUAAUUUACUGUGACUAAAUGGAUGCUGAAAUAUUGACAAAUCCUUUCCAAGGAUCCAUAAAACGAGCUAUCUCACAAAGGAGUGCUCUAGACACAAACUAUAAAAAGUCUUGGUCUGGCAGGUUGCCUGAAGGGCAAGUGAAAACAAAGGCCACCUACGCACAGACUAUCAGUGACAAGAGAAAGACGGCCAGACAGGCAAUCCCACCAGGAACACUUUCACCUGAGCCGCAGACAAAAGCAGUUGCUGGGAGAAAAGCGCAUAAUAUUCAUAAUUUCUGGUACAAGGAACUGCAGUGCAAGCACCAGCACACGGAGAAGAAAAAUGAAGCGCUCCAGAGAAAUGCACAACUGCUGAAAGAUGAGGAACAACUGGAAGAGACACAAAGCAAAAACAUUGAAAUUUGAAAACGAGAAACAAGAACUGGAGAAAAUAUGCAUAGAAAUGCAGAGUAAAAUCCAAGCACUGCUGAGCAAAAAAACCCCCAAACUAUUUGCAAAGAUUGUAUAACAAAGCACAAUAAACAAACAUCGAAAUGCAAGAGGAGAAGUGACAACAGGAGAAAAAGCAUAAUGACAUCCAGUGUACGCUACACAAACUGCAGAGGAGACAUCAAGAGUUACUGGACAUCCAUAACAAAGUACAAGAAACAAACAACGAUAUGCAGGAAAAGAAAGUUCAAGAAGAAAAAUAUAAAGAAAUGCAAGAGAAAAAUGAAGAACUGCAACAAAAGCAUGAAGAAAAUCAAGAAAAAUUAGAAGAACUGCAGAAAAGGUGUAAGAAACUUGAGGUGCAGCAUGGAGAGCUUUUCAAUGAGGUGACAAGCCUCAUAGCGCAGAACAAAGAUCUGCAGGAACUGUGCCUGGAAAAUAAGAAAAAUCACUCGAGGUUUUGCUGGAAGAAGGACUCAGUAAAUUCACUGUGCUUCAAAUUUAAUGUUGUUUAGAAACAUUAAUGAUGGAUACGGAUCAAUAACUUAAACUGAGCUUUAUUUAAUUGGAUUCCUGUUUUGAGUUCUUUAUUAUUCUAAACCUGACCAGUCCUGUGUUUUGGUUCAUGUUUUCAUUAUUAUCUUAGUGUGUUGAGUUUAAGAAUAUUUACUUUUCAUGGAGUUGUAUAUGCCUGUUUAUAUGAUUUACUAUUACAUUCUAGUGUUAGCUGCUGAUUCCCUAGGAAUGUACCUCUGUUCCUUUCCUGUUUUGUUCUGAUCACUAGUUUCCUCGGGUCUCGUUUUGGGUUUUUACUAACCAUCUGAUGGACUGUCUUGAUUGUUUUCACCUGUGUCUUGUUCCCCCAACUUUGCAUUAUCCCUAGUCAGGCUUCUGCGUGUAUAAAUAGCCCAGUUUUCCCUGUGUCCUCUGGCAGGAUGUUUGUUUCUCUACCUUGUCUGUACUCUGUGCUCCUCUUGGUUAUUCUUGAUGGGCAGAGUGAGGCUGAAAGUUUUUUAACACAGUUUAGCCAGAAAUUUACAGAGAUUUCAAAACAAUCGGACAUCCAUCUCCACAGAGGCACCUACUGGAGACUUUUGUUAUUAUUAUAUUUUUAAAAAACGAUUCCGUUAAAUAAUAACACAGAAGAUUGUUGCACAAUUGGAAUCAAGGCUAAUUAUUAGGCAAGAUUAUCAAUAAAUAAUUAUUGAUAAUCAACACAUGUUUUGGAGAAAUUGUCACACACCAAAGCAAGAACAUUUUUUGAGAGAGUUAGACAACAGGCUGUGACUCUAAGGCUGUUUCAGCAAAUACUGGACUGGUACCUACUGUUUCACCUUCUUAGUAAUUCAGUGUAAUGGAGAAAUAGAGAACAGUCUGCAAUGUUUAUUGUGAUAACUACAUUUGUUUUGUAGAUUUAAUUGUCACGUACUUUGCAGUUAGGCUAAAUGUAAACAACAGGGAUUUCUGUGAAAGAUUUAUCAUCUACAGAGGAAAGUGUGAAUGACUGUAGUUAAUUAUGCUUAUGGAGAAUGAAGAUGAAUAAGAGAAAAUCACAUUAAUAAUGUCUACAUUUGUUGUAGUUCAGUUGUUUUGGGCCCUGAGACUUGCCAAAAACUUGUUCAAACUUAUUGCGAAUAUACAUAAAUAUUUUUUGCUAAGCUCUAAAAGUGUGGAUAUACAGCACAUUGUUCCUGCAAAUAAACAAGUGGACCAUGUGCCCUAUGAAGCAAAUGCAUUUGUGAGGUAUCUUUUGACCUCUACAGUGGUGUCAGCGGUUGCAUUGUAUGUACUACACUCACCUGGCAGUAAAAAGUUCCUACAAACAGUCUGAGUCCUCCGCUAUCGCUGCUUCUGCCACUCCUGCUGUUGAUGAUGAUGAUGAUGACUUUUACUGGGAGUUUGUGGUGACAUUAGAUUUGUUCUACACAUCAUCAAUCAAACUUAAAAGCAGCAGGUAAGCCACCAGUAGAAACUGCACUGAAACACAUCAAAAACCUCAAUUAGCCGUGGUCACGUGAGGUGGGUGACAUGAACCACACUCCACAGCAGCAUUUCAAAACAUCUGCACUUCAUAAGCUUGACACAGUGUUGACACAUCAGUAUGAAGUAGCCCUACCAAUUAUAUAUGGUGUUUGCUUUUUGGGCUUUUCCUCAUCUCCUAACUCCUGCAUCAACGUCAAUACAUUGUCUUGCUUUUUGUUAAUACGUCUGCUUCCUGUUCCUGCUGCCAUCCACGAACUGUGACGUUUACUUUAUUUUCCUGCCAAAUACCUGCCAAACUAUUGUUUUAAGCCUCGUAAUGACCUAACAAAGAAUAAAUGACUGUUCAAGUUCAUUUAAAAUGGCAUAAACUUUGUAAACCCCUGAGAACGCUCAACUUCAAAAAGCAGGGUUUCUUCAAUGGGCUCUAAGAGCAGAUGGUUAAACUUCCACAGUUUGGUAGAUCU
rnacentral:lncRNA from 1 species